ACUUCAUUGACAGUCAUGACGGACGUGUGGAGAUCCUGCAGCGUCUGAUGUGUGCUCGAGAGUCUCGGAUCAGUUCAGUGGUGUUAGUGUUUCUUCAGAGACCAUGUCGAGCUGCUUAAGUGCACAAAACACUUUCUUCUAAAAAUCUCCUUCCCACUAGAAAUGUUUCAAUGUUUAAUGCGCUUUAAUGCCAAGUCAAAAUAAUAAUACCAAUACUAGGAACAUUAAUAGCAGUCAAUAGAUUUGAAAUUGAAAACAGCAGAAGAUGAAGCAGCUGGCACAGUGUGUGUGUGUGAGAUUAGUGGGAAUGUGGCUCUUUUGUAGCUCACUUGAUCUCCUCCCCCUCUGAAUUUUCACAUUUCCGCACCGCCGCUGAGAAUGCUGGGAAACCCUCGUGUUAUUUCUGAUUUCUCACUCUUCGGAGAGUCCGCGGCUCCCGUACAGAGAAUCUGAGGAGCCAAACAGCGGCUGAAUUAGACCAUGAAAUUACAGAUAACAUUUAAAAAUAAUCUCAGCAUAAUGAUUACAGCGAGGCCACUGAGACAUUUCUUAAGGCUCUGAAAUUAUCCACACUAUUUAUUGACUUCUUCCACACUCAGCGAUAAGAAUAUGUAAUCAGUUUUUCUGGUAAUUUGUUGUUGUAUCAGGAGGAAGAGUCGAGGAGGGGCGAGUGUUUGUGACGCCGGACAGACGGAUGUUUGGACUCUCAUUCUGACGGCACCCAUUCACUGCAGAGCAUACAUUGCUGAGACACUGAUGCAAUGCUACUUUUCUACAAAUCUGACGAAGAAACACACUCAUCUACAUCUAUAGAUGGCCUGAGUAAAUAUUCAGAAAUGUUGACUAUUGGCUGGAUGUAAUAUUGUUUACUAUAUUUUUAAUUUAAUUUUAUUUAAUUUAAUUUAAGGAGUUGGGGGAUUGGCUUUUGUAAGUUAAAGGGAUUUUACAAAAGAUUAACAGAAUGGAAAGUGAAACUAAUGACACAGGAAAAGCAUG
rnacentral:lncRNA from 1 species